AAUCAACGCUGGCGGCGUGCCUCAGACAUGCAAGUCGAACGCGAAAAGUUCCCUUCGGGGGAUGAGUAGAGUGGCGCACGGGUGAGUAACACGUAGGUAAUCUACCUUUGGAUGGGGAAUAACAACCGGAAACGGUUGCUAAUACCGCAUAAUGCAGCGGCACCUAAUGGUGACAGUUGUUAAAGCGGGGGAUCGAAAGACCUCGCGUCUGAAGAGGAGCCUGCGGCGGAUUAGCUAGUUGGUAAGGUAACGGCUUACCAAGGCGACGAUCCGUAG
rnacentral:rRNA from 1 species